rnacentral:rRNA from 1 species
GACGAACGCUGGCGGCGUGCUUAACACAUGCAAGUCGAGCGGGGACACAGGGAGUACUUGUACGAACUGUGUUCUAGCGGCGGACGGGUGAGUAACGCGUGAACAAUCUGUCCCAGACAGGGGGAUAACACUUGGAAACAGGUGCUAAUACCGCAUAAGCCCACGAGGUCACAUGGCUUUGAGGGAAAAGGAGCAAUCCGGUUUGGGGUGAGUUCGCGUCCGAUUAGCUAGUUGGUGAGGUAACGGCCCACCAAGGCGACGAUCGGUAGCCGACCUGAGAGGGUGAUCGGCCACACUGGAACUGAGAGACGGUCCAGACUCCUACGGGAGGCAGCAGUGGGGAAUAUUGGGCAAUGGGCGAAAGCCUGACCCAGCAACGCCGCGUGAGGGAAGAAGGUUUUCGGAUUGUAAACCUCUGUCCUUGGUGAAGAAGGAAGUGACGGUAGCCAAGGAGGAAGCCCCGGCUAACUACGUGCCAGCCGCCGCGGUAAAAC